UACGGGGGGGGCAAGCGUUGUUCGGAAUUACUGGGCGUAAAGGGUUCGUAGGUGGCUUGUUAAGUCAGACGUGAAAUCCCUCGGCUCAACCGGGGAACUGCGUCUGAGACUGAUGAGCUCGAGUGCAGGAGAGGAACGCGGAAUUCCAGGUGUAGCGGUGAAAUGCGUAGAUAUCUGGAGGAACACCGGUGGCGAAGGCGGCGAUCUGGGUCGAUACUGACGCUGAGGUGCGAAAGCGUGGGGAGCAAACAGG
rnacentral:rRNA from 1 species